rnacentral:rRNA from 1 species
GGCCACGCGGUAUACGGGGGAUGCAAGCGUUAUCCGGAAUCAUUGGGCGUAAAGCGCCUGUAGGUUGUUUAAUAAGUCUGUUGUUAAAGACUAGGGCUUAACCCUAGGAAAGCAAUGGAAACUACUAGACUAGAGUAUGAUAGGGGUAGAGGGAAUUUCUAGUGUAGCGGUGAAAUGCGUAGAUAUUAGAAAGAACACCGGUGGCGAAGGCGCUCUACUGGAUCAUUACUGACACUCAGAGGCGAAAGCUAGGGUAGCAAAAGGGAUUAGAUACCCCUGUAGUCCUAGCCGUAAACGAUGGAUACUACAUGUUGCGUUUUAUAUGCAGUAUGGUAGCUAACGCGUUAAGUAUCCCGCCUGGGGAGUACGCUCGCAAGGGUGAAACUCAAAGGAAUUGACGGGGGCCCGCACAAGCGGUGGAGCAUGUGGUUUAAUUCGAUGCAACGCGAAGAACCUUACCAAGGCUUGACAUACUACAAAUUUCUUUGAAAAAGGAAAGUGCCUUCGGGAAUGUAGAUACAGGUGGUGCAUGGCUGUCGUCAGCUCGUGUCGUGAGAUGUUGGGUUAAGUCCCGCAACGAGCGCAACCCUUAUUUUUAGUUGCCAAUUUAUUGGGUUCUCUAGAAAGACUGCCGGUGACAAACCGGAGGAAGGUGAGGAUGACGUCAAGUCAGCAUGCCCCUUAUGCCUUGGGCUACACACGUGCUACAAUGGUUAAGACAAAGAGUUGCCAGCUGCAAAAGUCAGCUAAUCUCAUAACUAGCC